rnacentral:rRNA from 1 species
GAUGAACGCUGGCGGCGUGCUUAACACAUGCAAGUCGAACGGUGAAGCAGGAGCUUGCUCCUGUGGAUCAGUGGCGAACGGGUGAGUAACACGUGAGCAAUCUGCCCUGGACUCUGGGAUAAGCGUUGGAAACGACGUCUAAUACCGGAUACGAGGCGUGGGGGCAUCCCCAACGCCUGGAAAGAACUUCGGUCCAGGAUGAGCUCGCGGCCUAUCCGGUAGUUGGUGAGGUAACGGCUCACCAAGCCUACGACGGGUAGCCGGCCUGAGAGGGUGACCGGCCACACUGGGGCUGAGACACGGCCCAGACUCCUACGGGAGGCAGCAGUGGGGAAUAUUGCACAAUGGGCGCAAGCCUGAUGCAGCAACGCCGCGUGAGGGACGACGGCCUUCGGGUUGUAAAGCUCUUUAGCCGACGAAUAUAAUGACUGUAGUCGGAGAAUAAGCCCCGGCUAACUUCGUGCCAGCCGCCGCAGUAAUAC